GAUAAACGCUGGCGGCGUGCCUAACACAUGCAAGUUGAACGCUCUCUACGCAAGUAGAGGGAGUGGCGGACGGGUGAGGAACACGUGGGAACCUACCCCCAAGUGAGGAAUACCGGCGAGAAAUCGCCGACAAGACCGCAUAGGCUUCUUUCGCACGAGGGAAGCAAAGCUCGCAAGAGCGCUUGAGGAUGGGCCUGCGCCCGAUUAGUUAGUUGGCGAGGUAAAAGCUCACCAAGACGACGAUCGGUAGCUGGUCUGAGAGGACGAUCAGCCACACUGGGAUUGAGAACGGCCCAGACUCCUACGGGGGGCAGCAGUGAGGAAUUUUCGGCAAUGGGGGCAACCCUGACCGAGCAACGCCGCGUGCAGGAAGACGGCCUUCGGGUUGUAAACUGCUUUUCUCUGGGACGAGCAAGGACGGUACCAGAGGAAGAAGCCUCGGCUAACUACGUGCCAGCAGCCGCCGUAAUAC
rnacentral:rRNA from 1 species